UACAGAGGUCUCAAGCGUUGUUCGGAGUUCAUUGGGCGUAAAGGGUGCGUAGGCGGCGCGGUAAGUCGGGUGUGAAAUCUCGGAGCUUAACUCCGAAACUGCAUUCGAUACUGCCGUGCUUGAGGACUGGAGAGGAGACUGGAAUUUACGGUGUAGCGGUGAAAUGCGUAGAUAUCGUAAGGAAGACCAGUGGCGAAGGCGGGUCUCUGGACAGUUCCUGACGCUGAGGCACGAAGGUCAGGGGAGCAAACGGG
rnacentral:rRNA from 1 species